rnacentral:rRNA from 1 species
UGGCUAACUCCUACGGGAGGCAGCAGUAGGGAAUCUUGCGCAAUGGGCGAAAGCCUGACGCAGCCAUGCCGCGUGAAUGAUGAAGGUCUUAGGAUUGUAAAAUUCUUUCACCGGGGACGAUAAUGACGGUACCCGGAGAAGAAGCCCCGGCUAACUUCGUGCCAGCAGCCGCGGUAAUACGAAGGGGGCUAGCGUUGCUCGGAAUUACUGGGCGUAAAGGGAGCGUAGGCGGAUAGUUUAGUCAGAGGUGAAAGCCCAGGGCUCAACCUUGGAAUUGCCUUUGAUACUGGCUAUCUUGAGUACGGGAGAGGUGUGUGGAACUCCGAGUGUAGAGGUGAAAUUCGUAGAUAUUCGGAAGAACACCAGUGGCGAAGGCGACACACUGGCCCGUUACUGACGCUGAGGCUCGAAAGCGUGGGGAGCAAACAGGAUUAGAUACCCGAGUAGUCCAGCUGG